CCUACGGGUGGCAGCAGUGGGGGAUAUUGCACAAUGGGGGAAACCCUGAUGCAGCGACGCCGCGUGUGGGAAGACGGUCCUCUGGGUUGUAAACCACUGUUCCCAGGGACGAAGAUGACGGUACCUGGGGAGGAAGCUCCGGCUAACUACGUGCCAGCAGCCGCGGUAAUACGUAGGGAGCAAGCGUUGUCCGGAAUUACUGGGUGUAAAGGGAGCGUAGGCGGAAUGGCAAGUUGGGUGUUAAAUCUACCGGCUCAACUGGUAGUCGCACUCGAAACUGCUAUUCUUGAGUGACGUAGAGGCAGGCGGAAUGCGUGGUGUAGCGGUGAAAUGCAUAGAUAUUAGGAAGAACACCGGUGGCGAAGGCAGCCUACUGGGGUUUUACUGACGCUGAGGCUCGAAAGUGUGGGGAUCGAACAGGAUUAGAGACCCGAGUAGUC
rnacentral:rRNA from 1 species